AACCACCGGCCCUCCAUUGUCGAGAUUCCCUGUGCUGGAAAGCCCACCGCUGCUCCGCAUUCGAUUCCCUUUCCUUCCCUGUCAAUCCUCGUGCUUUUCACUCCCGGGGUGAGCGAAGAGCAAGGGAAAAACCAAGCCUCCCCUGGCUCCAGAAGCUUCCGCUUCAGCCGAUAUGUGGGCUUCCAUCGUUGCGUUGCCAGGAUUCUGCCAAAGCUGCAGCAGUAGUGGUGGCAAGUGGCAUUUGAAUCCCGGAAGAAAAAGUAAAGUUUAAAACUAAAGCUACAGUUAGUUUCUACAAGGACAUUGUUCGUACAAAUAGGGCUAUAAAGAGGGGAAUAAGAACAGGGCUCAUGCAUGGUAUGUGUUGUAAAUCAAUCUCAUGCUAAUGAGCAUAAGAACCCUCACUCCAGUGUUAUUCUGGAAAUUAUUUAAGUUGAGUUGGAGCGGUGAGGUUUGUAUGUAGAACAAAAUAAUGACAAACAUAAUUUGCAAUGGGUUCCUG
rnacentral:lncRNA from 1 species